AUGGUUUGGUUCAGUCCUGCAUCUGCAGAUAAAGUCAUGCUCAGCUGCCAGGCUCUUCAAUUCUACCCACAGAGUCUUUCUUUUGAGUGGAGCGAUGCGAGUGGAGCACCAGUGGAUUCUGUACGUUAUCUUGCAGUAGAAACAAACAACAGAUUUACAGAAGUCAGUUUGGUUCAAAUGUCCAGAUCUGAAGCAAAUCUAAAGUCUUAUCAAUGUACAGUGACUCAUCCUGGUGGCACCGAGACUGUGAAUGCAAAAAGGGCCUCCUGUUCUCCAAAACUGACUUUGCUCUCGGUGACAACUGGAGACGGUCAGACACUAGUGUGCGUCAUUGAGGAUUUGUCUUCUGAAAAUCUGUCAGUCAAAUGGAAAAAGAAUGGCAAUGAGGUGUCUGGACACAAUGAAUGGCUUCCCAAAAAAUUCGGAGACUCGUGUUCAGCUGCCAGCGUCCUAAAGUUGAAAAGCUCUGACUGGGACAGUGAAGCUGUUUACACAUGUGAAGUGACUCACCUUGGAAAAACGUACACAAAGAAAGCUUCAAAAGCUCCUAUCACAGUAACACUGAACUCUGUGAGUCCUAAAACAAUAUUCAGUAACAACCAGGCAGAGCUAGAGUGUGUCGUCUCCGGACAGGACAAUGACAUUGUGUCAGGGACUGAAAUCACCUGGGAGAUUAAUGGAGAACAUAUGAGAAGUAAGAAUAAGGAAGCAACAAUGUUUGAAGGCAGUCAGUACAGCAAACACAGCAUCAUCACUUUUAAUUCCUCCGACUGGAGGACAGUGAGCAAAGUGAGAUGUUCUGCUGCAGCAGAAGACGAGGGACCAGUUUUUCAGGACCUGACUGUCAACAAUGGAGAUGGCACAGAGCCAAAAGUAACGGUCCACAUGCUUUCAGAUCAGGAUAUUGGCCAAGAAGCAUCAGCUCAGGUCACUCUGGUGUGUUUGGUUUCCAGUGAUGUGCUUCAGGAUUACUACAUUGCCUGGACUGAAGAUGUCGGACAAAGUAGCUCAGUGUAUUAUGACGGCAUCGACUUUCCACCAAGAAAGACCCAAAAUGGCUACUCAGUUGUAAGUGUUUACACCACCACCAAGGAGAAGUGGAGCGGAGGCCACGUCUUCUACUGCAACGUGUGGCCUGCCGGCCGUGGGAGUCGCAUGAAACCCAGUGGAGUGUCUCAGGCCAUGGAUUUCCCCAGUCUGACAUUUGCUCUGUGUGGCAAAGAAAAAGGUGGUGAUGAAGAUGAAUACAUCAGCCUUUGGUUCACGGUCUCGUCUUUCCUACUCCUCUUCAUAUUCAGUCUGUCAUACAGCUUAUUGCUCACCCUGCACAAGAUGCAACAAGAGCAGAGGAAUGUGCAACAAACACAGUAAUCUUUUCUUUUCCAUUUGAAUGGAUGAACCAUCACAAAGCUGUGCAUUUCCAUAUUUGUUUAUGCUUUUUAACAUAUAUUCUUCAAAAACCUAACAGUUAUCUGCUUUCUUAAAAAUGCACAUUAGUAAUUUUAUGUUUGUACAGUAGCUAUAAGUGUUGCCAUUCUUAAAGUGCUGUAAUGUUGCUUACAUUCAAAUACAGCAUAUUGAUGAUCUUUUAACAAUCUGUCACAUUAGUUUCCAUAUACGGUUAAACAAUGCUUUCCUUAUUUAGAGCUAGAGGUGACAAUGUACAGCAAGAAUCACUGUUAUGGCAUCUUUUGUAGUUUUUUUAUUUUUAUGUAUGUUGAAAACAUUAAAUAUGUAAAUACAAACAUAAACUUUUGAGGUUUUCUUUUCACCAGAUCAGAGAAGACAUCAGUUUUUUAGGAUACCGACCCUUGAAGCCAUUAUAGCGUGACCGGCCGUUAUCAGUUAAGUCUUGUAGGUUUUCAGUUUCCCUUCAGAGAGCCGAUUCCUCUUUUUCUUUGUGUUCCUCUGAGAAAACACCUGCAGCUGUGAAACUGUGUGAAAACCACCAGAAAUAUAAAUAAAC